rnacentral:rRNA from 1 species
CAGUAGCCGCGGUAAUACGAAGGGUGCAAGCGUUAAUCGGAAUUACUGGGCGUAAAGCGUGCGUAGGCGGUGAGUUAAGUCUGCUGUGAAAUCCCCGGGCUCAACCUGGGAAUGGCAAUGGAAACUGGACGGCUAGAGUGUGUCAGAGGAUGGUGGAAUUCCCGGUGUAGCGGUGAAAUGCGUAGAGAUCGGGAGGAACAUCAGUGGCGAAGGCGGCCAUCUGGGACAACACUGACGCUGAAGCACGAAAGCGUGGGGAGCAAACAGGAUUAGAUACCCGCGUAGUCCCUGUCUCUUAUAC